CAGCAAUCUAAUUUUUCGCACCGUUAAGUUGGAUACCUAUACAUCAAAUGUAUAUGUCAGAUCGGUCAAAUAAACUUCGACAAAAAUGGCAUUAACAUACCCAAACGGUAGAAUCGCUCCAUCGCAAUUUGCGUCAUUCCAUUAUUUGCAGAAGCUAUUGGCGAUGAAUCGAAGGUCUAUGCCGCAGAAGCGAGUAUCAGUUAUUGGCUAGAUGCAAGACAAUCGCCGUUAUUUGCGCAGUGUGAGCUUGCUCUCGCUGCAUAGUAAAGGGCAAAGCGCUUCCCCAUUACGUAGAACCCGUGGGGCCUUCACGAAAAUUUGUUAUCAAAUGAU